CUUUUAUUUUUUUCUUUUUAAUUUUAUUUUGUUUGAAGCAUGUUCAUGAUUAAAUCUGUAUGCUGGCUUAUUUGAGUGACUGCUCUCUGAUUGCGGUUUCCUCAGUCCUAGUUCUUCCUCUUCUUCUUCUUCUUCUUUUUUUUUUUCUUUUCUUUUUUCUUCCCUUUCCUUCCUUUCUUUUUGGUUUAGAGAAGCCCUUUCAAUAUUUCCUUUAACCUGGGUUUUGUGUUGCUGUAUUCUUUAAGUUUUUGUUUGUUGGGAAAAAUUUUUAUUUCCCCUUCUAUUUUAAAUGAUAUUCUUGCUGGAUAAAGUAUUCUAGGUUGCAUAUUUUUUCCUUUGAGCACUUUAAAUAUCUCUUGCCAUUCCCUCCUGGCCUGUAGUGUUUCUGUAGAGAAAUCAGCUGAUAUUCUUAUGGGGGUUCCCUUGUAGGUAACAUUCUGUUUUUCUCUUGCUGCCUUUAGGAUCCUCUCUUUAUCACUAACUUUUGCCAUUUUUAUUAUGAUGUGUCUUGGUGUGGGUCUGUUUGGGUUCAGUUUGUUUGGGGCCCUCUGUGCUUCUUGUAUCUUGAAUCCAGUAUCCUUUAGAUUUGGGAAGUUUCCAGCGAUAAUUUCUUCAAAUAUAUUUUCCAUUCCUUUAUCUUUUUCUACUCCUUCUGGAAUUCCUAUUAUGCGUAGAUUGGCCCGUUUUAUAUUAUCCCAUAGGUCUCUUAUAUUGCUUUCCAGUUUUUUGAUUCGGUUUUCUGUCUGUUGACCAGAUUGAGUGAUUUCCAUUAUUCUAUCUUCCAUAUCACUGAUUCGUUCUUCUGCAUUAUUCAUUCUGGUUUUUACUGCCCCUAGUUCAGUUUGCAUCUCUGCAAAUGAAUGUUCUAGUUUUUCUUGGCUCCUCCUUAUAUUUUCUAGCUCCUUUCUGAGGGUAUCUGCAUUGCUGUUCAUAUCUUCUCUUAAUUCCUUCAGUAUUUUCACUAUUUCUCUUUUGAACUCCAGGUCUGUCAGACUGCAGAGAUCAGUUUCAUUGUUGACUGUUUUAGGUGAGUUCUCCUGUUGGUUUGACUGGGGGUGGUUUCUCAGCUUCUUCAUCUUGCUUGUUGUUUUCUUUCCCCUGAGGGAGUUGUACUCUCCAUUAUCGGGCAGUGUUUGCGUUGUCACUGCCGUGGAAUAUUUCCUGAGGGCUGGCAUUGUUGUUCAAUCUUUUUUGUGGCAGUGUGGCUUUUCUGGAGUGUUGAUGGGGCUAACAGGGUUUCUUUGAAGCAAAGGAGGACUUCCUGAGGGCAGACAGGACUGGGAGGUCCACACCACGAUGAUAGCAGAUUUCACUUGGUCAGGCAGUGCUUGCUCUGGUGUUUUUAGGCUGUGGGGUUCUUGCAGGGGGUUGGUGUUGGGCAGCUGUUCCUCAGGAGUGCAUCACCCCCUGGGGGCUGGAGCAGCUAUCUGGGUCACUGAGAACCUAAGAGGCUCUUCCCUGGGGCAGCCCAACUCAGAAGGACAGGCUGAGAAUGUAGGCGGAUCUUUUCACGGUCCGGCCAAGCUUGUUGCAGCUUUUCUGGGCUGCAGGGGCUCCUCCAGGGGUCUGGUGGUGCUGAGCGGCUAUUCAAUGGGAGUGGGGCACCCUCUGAGGGCUUGGGUGGCUAGCAGGGCUGCUGAAAACCCAAGAGGCUCCUCCCCAGGGCAUCCCGACUCAGAAAGACUGUCUGAGAUCUUUUCACAGCUGGGUCAUGCUUGUUGCAACUUUUCUGGGCUGCAGGGGGUCCUGCCUGGAGCUGGCAGUCCUAUGCAGCUGAUCCCCUAGAGCUCAGCACCCCCUGGGGGCUUGGGCGGGUAGCAGGGCUGCUUAAAACCCAAGAGGCUCCUCCCUGGGGGAGCCCGUCUCAGAAAAACCAUCUGAGAAUUAGGCAGAUCUAUUCACGGCCUGGCUAGGCUUGUUCUAGUUUUUCUGGGCUGCAGGCCUUUUCUCGGGGGCUGGUGGUGUUUGGUGCUGCUCUGCGGAAGUGUAGCCCCUCCAAAGGGCAAGCAGGCCUGUGCAGGGACAGCCCCUGCGGUGGUAGGCUUCAGGCAAUUGUUGAGGCCAGCCCUCC
rnacentral:lncRNA from 1 species